CAGCCUGAUGCAGCCAUGCCGCGUGUGUGAAGAAGGCCUUCGGGUUGUAAAGCACUUUCAGUCGUGAGGAAGGUUUAUGCGUUAAUAGCGUAUAGAUUUGACGUUAGCGACAGAAGAAGCACCGGCUAACUCCGUGCCAGCAGCCGCGGUAAUACGGAGGGUGCGAGCGUUAAUCGGAAUUACUGGGCGUAAAGCGCAUGCAGGUGGUUUGUUAAGUCAGAUGUGAAAGCCCGGGGCUCAACCUCGGAAUAGCAUUUGAAACUGGCAGACUAGAGUACUGUAGAGGGGGGUAGAAUUUCAGGUGUAGCGGUGAAAUGCGUAGAGAUCUGAAGGAAUACCGGUGGCGAAGGCGGCCCCCUGGACAGAUACUGACACUCAGAUGCGAAAGCGUGGGGAGCAAACAGGAUUAGAUACCCUGGUAGUCCACGCCGUAAACGAUGUCUACUUGGAGGUUGUGGCCUUGAGCCGUGGCUUUCGGAGCUAACGCGUUAAGUAGACCGCCUGGGGAGUACGGUCGCAAGAUUAAAACUCAAAUGAAUUGACGGGGGCCCGCACAAGCGGUGGAGCAUGUGGUUUAAUUCGAUGCAACGCGAAGAACCUUACCUACUCUUGACAUCCAGAGAACUUUCCAGAGAUGGAUUGGUGCCUUCGGGAACUCUGAGACAGGUGCUGCAUGGCUGUCGUCAGCUCGUGUUGUGAAAUGUUGGGUUAAGUCCCGCAACGAGCGCAACCCUUAUCCUUGUUUGCCAGCGAGUAAUGUCGGGAACUCCAGGGAGACUGCCGGUGAUAAACCGGAGGAAGGUGGGGACGACGUCAAGUCAUCAUGGCCCUUACGAGUAGGGCUACACACGUGCUACAAUGGCGCAUACAGAGGGCGGCCAACUUGCGAAAGUGAGCGAAUCCCAAA
rnacentral:rRNA from 1 species